UUAGAGUUAUUUUCUCCAUUUUUUAAAACUAAAAUCUGUGCUAUUUUGCAUAGUUGGUCAUCUAUGCUAGUGCUUGGGUGCCUUUUUUUUUUUUUUUUUUUUUGAAUAUUGGCUUAAGUCCUGUGGAGGGAGAGGUGCAAAAGGAUCAGAUGACGUGCUUGUUGAGGAGCCCACGGGGUUGUCUGCUCAGCAGUGUUCUGAUCCAUUGGGCAUGCAAACUGUGAUCACUGUUAAUAAUGAGGAGCUUGGAAGUAACUUUGAGGGUGAAGCAAUCCUGAAAUUAUUUCCUCGAUUGAAGAAAUGAACAAAUAUGAUGAAGUUGUUGGGACUCAGGGUCUCACUGUGGAAGAAAGGACAUGCAAAUGAAAAUUUGGGGAACACAGAAAGAACCCUA